rnacentral:rRNA from 1 species
CCUACGGGAGGCAGCAGUGAGGAAUAUUGGUCAAUGGGCGUAAGCCUGAACCAGCCAAGUCGCGUGAGGGAUGAAGGUUCUAUGGAUCAUAAACCUCUUUUAUAAGGGAAUAAAGUGUGGGACGUGUCCUGUUUUGUAUGUACCUUAUGAAUAAGGAUCGGCUAACUCCGUGCCAGCAGCCGCGGUAAUACGGAGGAUCCGAGCGUUAUCCGGCUUUAUUGGGUUUAAAGGGUGCGUAGGCGGCCUUUUAAGUCAGCGGUGAAAGUCUGUGGCUCAACCAUAGAAUUGCCGUUGAAACUGGGAGGCUUGAGUAUGUUUGAGGCAGGCGGAAUGCGUGGUGUAGCGGUGAAAUGCUUAGAUAUCACGCAGAACCCCGAUUGCGAAGGCAGCCUGCCAAGCCAUGACUGACGCUGAUGCACGAAAGCGUGGGGAUCAAACAGGAUUAGAUACCCGGGUAGUC